rnacentral:sRNA from 1 species
UUAGGGGAGAAGCUUGGUUCCUCCUUCUCCGCUGAGAGGGGAGAAGAGCUGGGUUCCUCUUUGAAAACUCUUUCCGUAUAGGCCAGAAAACAGCUUGCUUAGAGAAAGACUGACUCUCCUACGGACCUGGUGGACCUUACAGUCGAGUUAUUGCAUCGAUCUCACAAACUAUCAAUUUCAUAAGAGAAGAAAGAUCGUUUUUAGAUCAUCAAGUGAGGACAGGUAGUAGCUCUGGUAGAGCGAGGGACUGAAAAUCCUUCUGUCUGCGGUUCGAAUCCGGACUCACUUCUAGCUCUGGCACAAGUUCCUCAUCCUUAGUUGUUUGAUGAGCCUGCGUAGUA